CCUGGUAUCGAUAUCAAAAUACUCUCUCUCUCUUGGACGGGACAAUGAACACCGCUACUCAGCCUCAUGUGUCUCAUCAUCCUUCAUCAGAUCUCAAUGGAAAGACAUCAGUUCAGCCUCGACGCAUCAAAUACGCAAACAUAUGAGGCUUUUGCUCUGACUCUCGAAUCACCAUCACGGCAAAGCAAAGAAUAAUGUCGAUAUCAUUAUUAAAAUCGGUCGUGCAGCUGAAUCCUUAUAUUCGUCUCCGAAAAUAACUUAUCCCGGAGUUAAGCAGCUAACUCUCCGUUGAAGCAUAUUAAGUCCAGCGGAGAGCCCAACUGGUCCAG
rnacentral:sRNA from 1 species